UGUUGCCUACGGGGGGCAGCAGUGGGGGAUAUUGCACAAUGGGGGGAACCCUGAUGCAGCGACGCCGCGUGGGUGAAGGAGUGCUUCGGCAUGUAAAGCCCUAUCGGCAGGGAAGAAGCAAGACGGUACCUGACUAAGAAGCCCCGGCUAAAUACGUGCCAGCAGCCGCGGUAAUACGUAUGGUGCAAGCGUUAUCCGGAUUUACUGGGUGUAAAGGGAGCGCAGGCGGCACGGCAAGCCUGAUGUGAAAGCCCGCGGCCCAACCGCGGGACUGCAUUGGGAACUACCGGGCUGGAGUGCCGGAG
rnacentral:rRNA from 1 species